ensembl:snoRNA SNORA70 Small nucleolar RNA SNORA70
AGGCUGAGAGACGUGCUGUCCUCUUUCCCUCCUGGGGCUCGGUGGGCAACGCUGUCAACAGCAAGUCCUGGGCCAUGUGUGCAGCCUAUUGCUUGUGUGGAUUGCCCAAAAGAACCUUAGAAAAGCCC